AUUGAACGCUGGCGGCAGGCCUAACACAUGCAAGUCGAACGAGUGGCGGACGGGUGAGUAAUGUCUGGGGAACUGCCUGAUGAAGGGGGAUAACUACUGGAAACGGUAGCUAAUACCGCAUACUAUCGGAUGUGCCCAGAUGGGAUUAGCUAGUAGGUGGGGUAAAGGCUCACCUAGGCGACGAUCCCUAGCUGGUCUGAGAGGAUGAUAAGCCACACGGGCACUGAGACACGGUCCAGACUCCUACGGGAGGCAGCAGUGGGGAAUAUUGCACAAUGGGCGCAAGCCUGAUGCAGCCAUGAAGCGUGUAUGAAGAAGGCCUUCGGGUUGUAAAGUACUUUCAGCGGGGAGGCGUUACCCGCAGAAGAAGCACCGGCUAACUCCGUGCCAGCAGCCGCGGUAAUUC
rnacentral:rRNA from 1 species